AUUGAACGCUGGCGGCAGGCCUAACACAUGCAAGUCGAGCGGAGCGGCGGACGGGUGAGUAAUGCCUAGGAAUCUGCCUGGUAGUGGGGGAUAACGUCCGGAAACGGGCGCUAAUACCGCAUACUAUCAGAUGAGCCUAGGUCGGAUUAGCUAGUUGGUGGGGUAAAGGCCUACCAAGGCGACGAUCCGUCACUGGUCUGAGCGGAUGAUCAGUCAAACGGGAAAUGAGACACGGGUCAGAAUCCUACGGGAGGCAGCAGUGGGGAAUAAGUGACAAUGGGCGAAAGCCUGAUCCAGCCAUGCCGCGGGUGUGAAGAAGGUCUUCGGAUUGUAAAGCACUUUAAGUUGGGAGGCGUUACCAACAGAAUAAGCACCGGCUAACUUCGUGCCAGCCGCCGCGGUAAUUC
rnacentral:rRNA from 1 species